rnacentral:misc_RNA from 1 species
GAUGAAGAACGUAGUGAAAUGCGAUAACUAAUGUGAAUUGCAGAAUUCCGUGAAUCAUCGAGUCUUUGAACGCACAUUCCGCCCCCUGGUAUUCCGGGGGGCAUGCCUGUCCGAGCGUCAUUGCUGCCCAUCAAGCACGGCUUGUGUGUUGGGUCCCGUCCCCCUCUCCCGGGGGACGGACCCGAAAGGCAGCGGCGGCACCGCGUCCGGUCCUCGAGCGUAUGGGGCUUUGUCACCCGCUCUUGUAGGCCCGGCCGGCGCUUGCCGACACCCAACCAUUUUUUUCAGGUUGACCUCGGAUCAGGUAGGGAUACCCGCUGAACUUAAGCAUAUCAAUAAGCGGAGGA